UUUUAACAUGGUGAUGGUUAGUGAGAAUGACCUUUCUGACAUAUAUAAAGAGGAAGUAGGUCAUUUCAUUGGGGAGCUUUUUGAUCUUUGAAUUCUUGGAGAUGUUUAUCUAUAGCUAAAUUGGAAAGGAUUUAGAGAAUUUCACCAUUAAGGCACAUGAGGAACCGGCCUAACAUAUUUUCAAUUGAAAUUCCAAUCAAAGACAAGUUCUGACCGGUCAUAGUGCAGUGAAGAUUUUAAGAAGGUAAUCUAGUAUUCUUAUGCAUGAAGAUAAUCAAUUAGGUUGUUGUGGUCGGACUCCAUUUCCCCUCCAGGUGAUGAAAUUUGAUGGUACUGAGGCUGAUGUUGAGCUGAUCCUACACCGAGACCGGGCUUCAUAACAUGUUGACGAAUUAAGGCCCCUGAACUGAGGAUUCGAUUAGUAGAAAGGACGACUUUGUCUCCUGCAAUAUCAUGCAAGAAAGCUCUAUCUUGGAUGAUUUUAGCCCACCCUCUAUAUGGGACAAUAAAAGUACCUAUUAUCAUAAACAGGAUAGAAAAUAAUCCUCAUGGAAUAUCUCAGGAUCAUUAUCCUUUUUUUACCCCUGAUUUUUUUUCCAGAAACUAAUCUGUUGUUUGUACAUCAGGCUGCUGGCAAGUGAUAAGUAUCACAAAUUUUAGGGCCCGUUUGGCUAUGCGAUAUGGUAUCAUAAUAUUGUACUAUGAUAUGAAAUCAUGAGACGAGACACGUGAUAUGAAAUUUUGGUGUUGUUUAUUUUCUUAUAAA